CGUGGAUUAUUAGGAGAGGAGGACAACAUUGUGGGGAAUAGAUCGAUUCCGGGGUGAACCAAAACGGCGGACCCAUUACUCUGCGACAGAGAGAACCAAUAUGACAACCAUUCUCCUAUUUUUACAAUAAGAGGUUUGUGCUGAUUCAUCUAUCAUAUCAGCUGUUACAAGCUGAUUCUCCCUCUUUACUCCCAGUUUCCGAGAUAGGAGAGAAAAAAACUUUACUAGGUGACCUUUCUUUAUAGGUCGUGAUGGAGGAAAAUACGAUCACCCCAGCUGAAAUGAACAGCAUUGCUUACUUGAACAAGAAAAGAAAACUUCACGUUGAACUGCUUGGAGGGCCUUCACCAAAGCAUCUGUGCUGGGGCAAAAAGUUUGAAUAUGAAUCUUCAUCUGAUUCAGGCACUGAACCAAAGAAAGUGAGAAGUAUCAUACUUGCAAGAGGAGGUGAAUCAGAUCCAGAAUCUGCAAAAGAUAGCUGUAGCUUUCAUGGUGAUGUAGAUUCUAUUAUGUCUCCAUGUGAUGACGCUAAAACGUAUCUCUCAUAUUCAGAAACACGUGUGUCUGUCCAGCCUUGUACUUCAUCUGCUAGGUGGGGUGGCACCUCUUUUCAGAGCGGGCUUUAUUCUUUAGAGAGCAGAUCAGGAACAAAGUCAAGUUCCUGUAAAUCAGAGUCGUUAUCCAUCUGCGAAGAACUUGAAUAUCUCCAUAAUGAUUAUGCGACACUUCCGUCUGAUUAUUAUGAGGAUCACCUCAUAGAAUUCGGAAGUCAUGCUGAUUGCAGCUGCUCAGAAUACCAAAAUGAUGGCACUGAGCACCAUUGCAAUAAAGAUCUUGGCGAUCUGCUCUACUCAAGCGGCGUAGCUCCCAGUAAUUACGUUCUUUCAUCGGGAAGGUGGUCUGUUACUCAUGAUACUCAACCGGCCACCAGGAAACUAACAAUUGAUAAGGAGUUUGAACAGUAUUUUUCGAGUCUCAUGCUGUAACAUACAAUAUGGUGCAAUAUAAACAGAAAUUGUUGAACUAUGUCAUCUGUAGUCUUUAUGAUGUCCAGAACAAGAUCAAAGCUUUGAGAUUUCUCUCUUCACCAUUUGUUGUAUUGUAUGACUGAUGUAUCGGUGCUUAUCAAGUGCAGUUUUUUGCUUUUCCAUAUUACAUAAUCUGCCUGUUUUCUUUUUUGUGGAGUGUGAGAAACAGAUGCCCCUGUCACAAGAGGAGAAUGAAUAAUCUGACUUUUAAUAUCUAUUUCUGUUUUUGGUGCUGGGCUGAGAAACUAUUUAUCCUGUACAUUUCAAUCCAGCAUUUACUUUACAUUUUAAAUGUUGUUCCGGGAAACAUGUCGUUACUCAUUAGUAUGCCAUGAAACUUGUUGUUGCUAUGCUACUUAUGCCAUCCAACUUUUCAUGAGGAGGCUAAAGUGCUCGUUUGAGUCUUGGGCUGCUUCUGUAUACAAAUGCAGCUUUUCUGAGUCCCAGUCUGGUGUAUUCACAUGGAUUAAAAAAAUAGUCAUUUCUUGGUCAAAGUGGGAGGUGUCGUACCUAAGGGGUCAAAUCAAGUUUUUUUCCUGAACAGCACUAGCAACCAAAAUGAAAACAAAUAACAUUAGCCGGACGAAAAGGAUAGGUAAACUCAAAGGUCUGGAGUCCAUGGGAAUUCAGAUCUCUGUCAACACUUGGGAAGAUCAGAAGGCGGUGGUGGUAAUUUUUGACUUGGUAGCUGCCCAUCUAGUACAAUCCAGGCCAUUCUCAACCCCCAACUUGUGUGUACAUCAAAGUGGCAGUGCAUAAACCAUACUCCUGUUCAAAAUAUAAACCACAGGAUGCAAACUCAGGCAACAAUGAGAAAACAAGAAUGCCGAACAGCAAAAUUGCCGUUGUAGCAGUAGAAGAGACACGGCGAUGCAUGUUUUUUGGGGCUUUCUGCAGUGAUGAAAGGGAGAUGAUUAGGUGAUAAGAGUGCUGUCAUUAGGGAGGAACAAGGUCGUCGAAUGUUCAUGGGAUUUCAUUUUCCUGUUGAGUUGGAAUCUCCUUGUGCUCUCUGCUUUUCUGUUGGUCAAGCUGAAUUUUAGAGUGCUGCUAAAGUAAGACAAUGCUUACAUUUUCUGUCUAAUUCUGAUUAGCGAGAGGAUUUUGCUUUGUAAUUACAUAUAAUUCGUAUUGGAGAUUAAUCACUCAAGUUGAGUAUC